AACGAACGCUGGCGGCAGGCUUAACACAUGCAAGUCGAACGCUUGGGAGCGAUCCCUUGAGUGGCAGACGGGUGAGUAACGCGUGGGAACAUACCCUUCGGUACGGAACAACUUGGGGAAACUCGAGCUAAUACCGUAUGCGGCCUAUGGGCGAAAGAUUGUAUCGCCGAAGGAUUGGCCCGCGUCCGAUUAGCUAGUUGGUGGGGUAACGGCCACCAAGGCGACGAUCGGUAGCUGGUCUGAGAGGAUGGCCAGCCACAUUGGGACUGAGACACGGCCCAAACUCCUACGGGAGGCAGCAGUGGGGAAUAUUGGACAAUGGGCGCAAGCCUGAUCCAGCCAUGCCGCGUGAGUGAUGAAGGCCUUAGGGUUGUAAAGCUCUUUCGCACGCGACGAUAAUGACGGUAGCGUGAGAAGAAGCCCCGGCUAACUUCGUGCCAGCAGCCGCCGU
rnacentral:rRNA from 1 species